AACGAACGCUGGCGGCGUGCCUAAACAUGCAAGUCGCACGAGAAAGUAUUUAUACGAGUAAAGUGGCGCACGGGUGAGUAACACGUGGAUAACAUACCUUCGAGACUGGUAUAACAGUUGGAAACGACUGAUAAUCCCAGAUAAAGUUUAGAAUACAUUGGGGUAUUUUGAAUGAAAGCGGGCCUUCGGGUGUCGGCUUGAAGAGUGGUCUGCGUCCCAUUAGCUAGUUGGUGAGGUAAAGGCUCAUCCAAGGCAUUGAUGGGUAGCUGGUCUGAGAGGACGAUCAGCCACACUGGGACUGAAACACGGCCCAGACUCCUACGGGGAGGCAGCAGUUAGGAAUAUUGCGCAAUGGAGGGAACUCUGACGCAGCGACGCCGCGUGAGCGAAGAAGGCCUUAGGGUUGUAAAGCUCUGUUGAAAGGGAAGAAUGCUGACGGAUGAAUAAUUUGGUUAGUUGACGGUACCUUUUAAGAAAGCACCGGCUAACUCUGUGCCAG
rnacentral:rRNA from 1 species